GUUUUUCCUAUCUGGGCUUCCAUCAAUAUAUUUUGAAAGGUCGGGACUUUUCAGCAAAUAUAAAAUUCAGAAAAAAAUCAAUAGUCCAGCUACACAGGAGAGAUGCAUUUGGCGCCUAAUCAUGUGCCAUCUCUGUGUCAACUUACCUCUUAUGAUGGCUUCUUAUCCUGCCUUCAGAUUCAUGGGCCUGAAAAGCAGCCUUCCGUUACCAUCCUGGACUGCUGUACUAUCUCAAAUUGUUUUCUACUUCAUUCUCGAAGAUUUUGUGUUCUACUGGGGGCAUAGAGUGUUGCAUACCAAGUGGCUGUACAAGCAUGUCCAUAGUGUUCAUCAUGAGUAUGCUACACCCUUUGGAUUGACUUCUGAGUAUGCUCAUCCUGCUGAAAUAUUAUUCCUUGGCUUUGCCACCAUUGUUGGCCCUGC
rnacentral:misc_RNA from 1 species